rnacentral:lncRNA from 1 species
AGAGAGAAAAAAAAGAAUAAAGCAAUCCAAAUUUUUAUUAAAUCAAUUUAUAUGCCCAAUUCUUUCAUUUCUUUAUUCUCAAUUCUUACCUCUAUUCUUCCAUUCCUCGAUUCUUUUGUUCCCAACUCUUGCUUCUGUUCUCGCCAUUUUCAACCUCCUAAUCCAUCUUUAGUAAUGGUUGGAAUAGAAAAAAAUUGUGAAUAAUAAUAGGAGUUGUGAGGA